UCUUGAGCAAGAAUAGGGCAAGACCUCCGGAGAUUAUCUAUGAAGACUUUAGGAGUGUUUGAAGGUGUCCAGAAGUGCUCAUAUGGCUGUGCAAAGAUAGGGCCAAGUCCAGGAGGGACUUAGAAGAGUGUUUGGGAGCAAAUGGGCAAGUGUGCAUACUUAGGGCGAGGCAGUACGGAUGGUACGGACCUGUACGGAUCCGUACGGACCGAGACAACCCGAGGAAACACAACUUGGCCAUUUGAGAUGUUUUGAGGUGGUGCAAAGUCCGGG
rnacentral:lncRNA from 1 species